GAUGAAGAACGCAGUGAAAUGCGAUAAGUAGUGUGAAUUGCAGAAUUCAGUGAAUCAUCGAAUCUUUGAACGCACAUUGCGCCCCUUGGUAUUCCAUGGGGCAUGCCUGUUCGAGCGUCAUUUGUACCUUCAAGCUCUGCUUGGUGUUGGGUGUUUGUCUCGCCUCUGCGUGUAGACUCGCCUCAAAAUAAUUGGCAGCCGGCGUAUUGAUUUCGGAGCGCAGUACAUCUCGCGCUUUGCACUCAUAACGACGACGUCCAAAAGUACAUUUUUACACUCUUGACCUCGGAUCAGGUAGGGAUACCCGCUGAACUUAAGCAUAUCAAUAAGCGGAGA
rnacentral:misc_RNA from 1 species